CCCCAGCCCGCUCUGGAUACUGGCUGACUAGAGUUACAUAGAGGUAAGUGGAAUUCUUAGUGGAGCGGUGGAAUGCGUAGAUAUUAGGAAGAACACCAAUGGCGAAGGCAGCUUACUGGAUGUACACUGACGCUCAGGGACGAAAGCGUGGGGAGCAAACAGGAUUAGAUACCCUGGUAGUCCACGCCGUAAACGACGAUCAUUAGCCGCUAGAAUAUUUAGUGGCGCAGCUAACGCAUUAAAUGAUCCGCCUGAGUAGUAUGCUCGCAAGAGUGAAACUUAAAGGAAUUGACGGGGACCCGCACAAGCGGUGGAGCAUGUGGUUUAAUUUGAAGAUACGCGUAGAACCUUACUCACUCUUGACAUCUUCCGCAAUACUAUGGAGACAUAGUGGAGGUUAACGGAAUGACAGAUGGUGCAUGGUUGUCGUCAGCUCGUGCCGUGAGGUGUUAGGUUAAGUCCUGCAACGAGCGCAACCCCUGUCUUUAGUUACUAACGGAUAAUGCCGAGGACUCUAGAGAGACUGACUGGGUAACCAGUAGGAAGGUAGGGACGACGUCAAAUCAUCAUGCCUCUUACGAGUGGGGCAACACACGUGCUACAAUGGACGGUACAAAGAGAAGCAAUAUGGUGACAUGGAGCAAACCUCAAAAAACCGUUCUCAGUUCGGAUUGAAGUCUGAAACUCGACUUCAUGAAGUUGGAAUCGCUAGUAAUCGUAGAUCAGCUACGCUACGGUGAAUACGUUCUCGGGUCUUGUACACACCGCCCGUC
rnacentral:rRNA from 1 species